rnacentral:snoRNA from 1 species
CGUGUUAAUGAUGAAUAUUUUAAAAAUUCUUGAUAGGAAGAGUAUGAUACAUAAUGAGUACAUAUAAUUGAGCUGAUUGUUUU